AUGCCACCAUGCCUGACUAAUUUUUUUUAUUUGUUGUAGAGGUGGGGUUUUACUGUGUUGCCGAGGCUGGUCUCGAACUCCUGAGUACAAGCAAUCUUCUGGCCUCAGCCUCUCAAAGUGCUGAGAUUACAGCGAACUUCUUGAGCACUGGUAAGGAACAUUUGGAGAAGAUUCUUCUAAGAAGGCCUGAUCCACUUGAUGCCCUGACAAAAGAAGUUAAUCUAUUAUGGUAAAGAAGACGAGGAGAGAAGAACUGACAUCAAACAUUUAGAAGAUAAUUAAGAGGACCUCAAGCUGCCUUAGCAGAGCGCAUCUCCUGAAGUGCAGAUAAAAUCAAUAUCAAGGCUCAGACAGACAUGGAGAUAAAAGUCCCAUGAAAGAAGACCUAGAGUUUUCAUUGAGUAGGACUCAGCACAAGAGCUGGCCCAGCUGCCUCAUCAUGGUUUGAACCUUUGUUUUCUUAUCUGUAAGAUAACACCUACGGUGCCAGGUUGAGUUUUUGGCAAGCAGAAAGUUAAUUUGCAGAAUUAUUAGAGAA
rnacentral:lncRNA from 1 species